UCAAAUCUCUAAUCUCGAAAUGUGUGUUAAGCAUUGAGUCACUGUUGAUUUUAAGUAGAUGAAUUUGGGGAUUUUUCAGUGUAUUACAAAUCGAUAGAAGAUGGAGUAAUAGUAGAGCGAGUUGAGGUUUGAUGAAGAUUAGAGAUCGAGAAGUUGGAUACUCAGUGGUUCACUACGAAGAAGUCGUCUCCUGAUUCGAAGCAAAAGCGAUGAAGCUAGACGAGCAUCAGAGAAAGUGUAUGACGUGGCGAAAGUGGACGAAAGAGUGAACAGAGCAGUGGCAGCGGCUAACAGGGCAGCAAAUGCAGCUAGAGUAGCGGUGGUAAAGGCGGUCCAAAAACAAAUUCAAUACAAUGGUAACAACGACAACAUUCCUAUGCCUUUUAUGCGAGACUGGUAAUCCAACUCUAAUAUCACUGAAAUCAUCAAUCAGGCUUCUACUACAUGAGAUGGCUGCUAGAGGAAGUUGCAUUUUGUGAUUUUCCUUCUAGCAUGCCUACAUUUUUCGUUGCGAUUUCCUUUCCCUUCCUUUCCUUUCCUCGAGAGUAUUAUGUAAUAUGAGGCCUUUUCCAGUAGGAGGAAAGGGUUGAACUAAUGAGUAUUAGCAUAAUUCAAUAUGCUGAAAUUUUUAAAUAUUUUUAUUUUACUUUAUUGAAUAUAAGGUCUAAAAUUUCAUAGUCAGACAUUGUAGAUGACAUAAUCGUUAAAUAAUGUACCAUGGGAUUGAUAGUCCUACAAAUAGGGUGAUUACUAGUCGAAGAGAAUAGUUAAUCCCCUCACUCAUAUUCCCAACCAGACACUUAUAAGUAGGUCUUACAGACUGUUAAUCAAAUCUCCCUCUUCAAAGAACCCAACAAACAUGCCUUACCAGAGCAAUGGCCCUGCCAAAUCCAACGAGGCAGCUCAAUGGAUGGAAUUGACAUUGUGCAACCAAUCCACCCAAAACUAUCAAAUGGUAACUCAUAACAAGUACUAGAUAGAGAAUCUUUACAAAAAGUUAGUUAUCUGACAAAAUAUAUUGAAUUUCUUCAUAUUGAAUUUUAAGGCUCUGUAGUACCCUGAGCAAAACGGAUGGACCUAAUUCAUCAACAUCUUGUACAUGUUACACCACUCUGCUGGCAGCAACCCACUUGAAUUACAUGGAACUAUCUAUAACAUAGUUUGUAUAGAUUGAAGUUUUCGUUGCUACCGUCAAUUGUUUGAAGAUCAAUUGAAGGCCCUUAAUCCAAAGAUUGGUUUUUGAUGACAUCUGGAAGCAUUCUUGCAAAUGAAGAUCAAGUGUUCAAUUUUUUUUUUCCUGAACUGAUACUUAGUUUUAGUUGCAAAUCAAGAUCGAGUGUUAAUUUUUUUUUUUUUGUGGA